rnacentral:rRNA from 1 species
AACGCUAGCUACAGGCUUAACACAUGCAAGUCGAGGGGAAACGAUAUUGGAAGCUUGCUUCCGAUAGGCGUCGACCGGCGCACGGGUGAGUAACGCGUAUCCAACCUGCCCACCACUUGGGGAUAACCUUGCGAAAGUAAGACUAAUACCCAAUGAUAUCUCUAGAAGACAUCUGAAGGAGAUUAAAGAUUUAUCGGUGAUGGAUGGGGAUGCGUCUGAUUAGCUUGUUGGCGGGGUAACGGCCCACCAAGGCGACGAUCAGUAGGGGUUCUGAGAGGAAGGUCCCCCACAUUGGAACUGAGACACGGUCCAAACUCCUACGGGAGGCAGCAGUGAGGAAUAUUGGUCAAUGGACGAGAGUCUGAACCAGCCAAGUAGCGUGCAGGAUGACGGCCCUAUGGGUUGUAAACUGCUUUUAUAAGGGAAUAAAGUGAGUCUCGUGAGACUUUUUGCAUGUACCUUAUGAAUAAGGACCGGCUAAUUCCGUGCCAGCAGCCGCGGUAAUACGGAAGGUCCAGGCGUUAUCCGGAUUUAUUGGGUUUAAAGGGAGCGUAGGCCGUCUGUUAAGCGUGUUGUGAAAUGUAGAUGCUCAACAUCUGAAUUGCAGCGCGAACUGGCAGACUUGAGUGUGCGCAACGUAGGCGGAAUUCGUGGUGUAGCGGUGAAAUGCUUAGAUAUCACGAAGAACUCCGAUUG